UUGGCUCAACCCGUAGAUCCGAACUUGUGUUGAGAUUUGAACAACGCAAGCUCGAGUCUGGGGUAGAGCCCGU
rfam:Trichuris trichiura, WGS project CBXK01000000 data, contig: TTRE_349